AUUCUGGAGUAAGCUGGAGUAAGUUGCGUGGCUUCCACGAUGACUGGACUGACGAGGAAUUUCAGGGGAAGCAGGGGAAGCGCUGGCAACUCCGAAGGUUCUGUGUCUACCUGUCGCUACGUCGGAGUCGGCCGACUGUCCGCCAUCUCCGAGAACAUCGUGCGGCUCAACAGGUUCCUGGCCCUUCUUACGCUCCACCUGGGAUCCACGCAAGGACGUCAUCUCUUGCGCAAAGGAUCUACCAGGCGUUCAUGUUGCGAGAAGCAUCAAAACCGUUGCAAAAAAGCGACAACAGACUCCGUCACGUGAUUUAGUGGUUUGGAACCCUGCUGCCGACGACGUCAAAAGCCGGUUGCGACUAAACUACAUGCGGAACAGCAAGACGUUCACCAUCGAAGAAUCGAACCAACUUAUUCCAUGACUCUUUUACUCCGAGAACACAUCAGUACUGGAACCUCCUUCCUGCAUCCAUUGCCACAUUCCCGGACACCGCGAACUUCAACUGGCAGCAGUGCAAACCACACUUGAUUAUUUUUGUAUUGCUCCUAAAACCACUGCUUUAG